UGGGGAAUUUUGGACAAUGGGGGAAACCCUGAUCCAGCCAUCCCGCGUGUGCGAUGAAGGCCUUCGGGUUGUAAAGCACUUUUGGCAGGAAAGAAACGUCAUGGGUUAAUACCCCGUGAAACUGACGGUACCUGCAGAAUAAGCACCGGCUAACUACGUGCCAGCAGCCGCGGUAAUACGUAGGGUGCAAGCGUUAAUCGGAAUUACUGGGCGUAAAGCGUGCGCAGGCGGUUCGGAAAGAAAGAUGUGAAAUCCCAGAGCUCAACUUUGGAACUGCAUUUUUAACUACCGGGCUAGGGUGUGUCAGAGGGAGGUGGAAUUCCGCGUGUGGCAGUGAAAUGCGUAGAUAUGCGGAGGAACACCGAUGGCGAAGGCAGCCUCCUGGGAUAACACUGACGCUCAUGCACGAAAGCGUGGGAAGCAAACAGG
rnacentral:rRNA from 1 species